CAGAGAACAUCUGCAACUUAGUGGUAGAGCAUCAUUUGCUUUGUAUGCAGAAGGUUUUGGGUUCAAUUCCCAGUAUUUCCUGG